rnacentral:lncRNA from 1 species
GAAAGAGUAAAGAAGAAAGAGAAACAGGAUGUGAGAAAUCGAGACUGAGAGACAGAGAAACUGCGGGAGAGAAAGAGAGAGCGUGAGAUAAUGAAGCAGAGAAAGACAAGGACAUUGUCCCCUCGUCCUGCCAUGGCCCAUAUCCCAGGAGGACCUGUCACCAUCCUCCACCUUGGUGAGACAUUGCCCAAGUUAAUGGGCCCAACAAUAGGGUCAGACUACAUUGCUGCUCCAUUUCCAAGAAAUUCUCCACGUGCAACAUCACAUUUCCUGUAACUCCAGUGCCUCAGGUCUCGACUCAAAGGUCACCUCUUCAGAGAGGCCCCUCCUAAUGAACUUCCUAAGCCCAGGCUAUCCUAUGGAUGCACUCCUCCCACCAUCUGCUCUCCCAAGCUCUGCUGAAACCCCCCUGCCUAGAACAAUUUGCUUCGUAGCUGACUUUCCAUAAACAUUCAUACAAUGGAUACAGAAAUGACACAGAGGCAUAUUUAUGUCAACAGGAGGCCAAAUCACUGCUGGGUGAGUGACCCACUGCUAGGAAGAUGCCCAGACGCCAACUGGGAAAAGCUUGGCCAAGCCAAUCAGGUGCUGCCAGAGCCUUCUUUGUGAUAGCAAUGCCAACCCAUGAACUAAUACCCUCCUUUGGGAGAGAUGCUGACACGCCAAGGAAACUAAUGUUUUUAUCUCAGCUGACUCAUUUGCUGAGAACAACAGGUUUAUAAGGCAACUCUUAGCUUGACCCACUCUACUCCUCCAUCAAAAUAAAGAAAUAAAUAAAGUUUUCAAACUAAAGAGCAUUAAAGAAUGAUAACUUUUCUUUUUCUUGGUACUAUCUAUUGACCUAUACCUGGUUUUCACUGUAACACAUUUGUGGUAUGAAAAAUGACAAUAUGAUGUCAGAGAAAAUGAGAG